rnacentral:rRNA from 1 species
UACGGGGGGGGCAAGCGUUGUUCGGAAUUACUGGGCGUAAAGGGCGCGUAGGUGGCCAACUAAGUCAGACGUGAAAUCCCCGGGCUCAACCCGGGAACUGCGUCCGAUACUGGAAGGCUUGAAUCCGGGAGAGGGAUGCGGAAUUCCAGGUGUAGCGGUGAAAUGCGUAGAUAUCUGGAGGAACACCGGUGGCGAAGGCGGCAUCCUGGACCGGUAUUGACGCUGAGGCGCGAAAGCCAGGGGAGCAAACGGG